rnacentral:lncRNA from 1 species
CGAACACGCACGUUAUUGGAGGAUAGAGGAUUGAGUAAGAGAGCCCAAAAAUUUGAUUGGAGGAGCCGACUCCGGAUGUGCUUGACUGAACACUGAUUGGAGAACAGAGGGGUCAGGAAGAGCAGUUCCGCACGAGGAUUGGGCGGUGGCGUGUCCCAUGGAAACGGAAUCCAGAACUGCAGCCAGGGUUUUUCACGGGGGCGGAGCCGGCUCUUCCCCAGGCGCCUGCGCCUAACCGGUUCCCCGGCGCCAUUUUGUCCCGGCAGCAGCAGCCCGCAGCUCUAUCCCAUUUUCUGUGAGGGAAGGACGCGGACUCUCUCCGAGUUGUGCUGAAGACAACAGACACCUCCAUGACAACCCAAAGUAUCACAGAGGAAAUGAACAGCUGUGGACUCAUUCAAAGUUAAUUAAGAUUAGGUUUGACCAUGGAAGACUUCUAGAGACUCUUGGCUGAUGAUGUGGAAAAAGAGACCCAGAAGAACAAAAAAACAGGUGACUGGAAUGCUGGUCCCCCUGUGCAGGAACAGCUCAGGAGGCUGGCGGAGACAUGAGUGUCCUUGCAGAAGCCAGCAGUCUUGUUGGCUGUCAGGUCCUCAUGACUUAGAAUUACAUGUCAUCCUUUCAUGUGGCAUGAAUGAGGAUUUAUAAAGCCCUAUUACGGUUUGGUAUGCAGUCCAAACAGACUUACAAAGAUUGGCAGAUAAAUUUUACCUGCUCAAGCAUAGAGCAGAGACUCCUCUUUAGCUAAUUUGUGCAUACAGCACUUUCCGUACACAAGUUACUGCAGAGCUGGGGCAGGAAGUAAGGGUGGAAUUCCUGAGCACGCUGACACUGAUGCUGAAGGAAGCAGGAGGUGGGCGGAGCUGGCAGUGGUGAGAGCCACGUGGAUACAUGGGAUGGUGGAGGAGUCAGGAAAAGUUAGUAGCUAGCUGAGACUGUCCUAGCAAAAGACCAACAGCUUUAAUUUUCUUCAAAAUUUAAUAAUAAACUGUGGAAAUAAACUAUUUUGAAAG